rnacentral:rRNA from 11 species
GGUUACAGUAUUGCAUUUUGAUAGCACUCUAAAGGCACGAGAUUCCAGUUGAUCUUAGAAACUAAGCAGGAUCGGCCCUGGUCAGUAAUUGGAUGGGAGACUGCUAACAAUGGUCAGGUGGUGUAAGCU